CCUACGGGAGGCAGCAGUGAGGAAUAUUGGUCAAUGGGCGCGAGCCUGAACCAGCCACGUCGCGUGCAGGAUGACUGCCCUACGGGUUGUCAACUUCUUUUAUACAGGAAUAAAGUGAGGCACGUGUACCUUUUUGUCUGUACUUUAUGAAUAAGGAUCGGCUAACUCCGUGCCAGCAGCCGCGGUAAUACGGAGGAUCCGAGCGUUAUCCGGAUUUAUUGGGUUUAAAGGGUGCGUAGAUGGUUUUUUAAGUCAGUGGUGAAAGUUUGCGGCUCAACCGUAAAAUUGCAAUUGAUACUGGCAGUCUUGAGUACAGUUGAGGUAGGCGGAAUUCGUGGUGUAGCGGUGAAAUGCUUAGAUAUCACGAAGAACUCCGAUUGCGAAGGCAGCUUACUAAACUGCCACUGACAUUGAUGCGCGAAAGUGUGGGUAUCAAACAGGAUUAGAUACCCUUGUAGUC
rnacentral:rRNA from 1 species